GAUCAUGGCUCAGGAUGAACGCUAGCGACAGGCUUAACACAUGCAAGUCGAGGGGCAUCAUGAGGUAGCAAUACCUUGACGGCGACCGGCGCACGGGUGAGUAACGCGUAUGCAACCUGCCUGAUACCGGGGUAUAGCCCAUGGAAACGUGGAUUAACACCCCCAUAGUACUUUUAUCCUGCAUGGGAUGUGAGUUAAAUGUUCAAGGUAUCGGAUGGGCAUGCGUCCUA
rnacentral:rRNA from 1 species